AUGUACCUUCCGUGGCAGCUCCUUGAACCUUCAGUUAAGGAAAUAUCCAUUAAAGGAGCGGACACCUUAGUUUGUCUGGUCAGUAAACUGUCGGUGGGCUUCCCUGCCGUCAGCUGGAUAGUGAACGGGAGUCCGACGAGCAGUGAGGUGGAAACCAGCGCGGUGAGGCGGAACACGGACAACACCUUCAGUCUCAUCAGCUACCUGACGGUUCCUGGCACAGACUGGAGCAGUGGGAAGGUGUACUCCUGCACAGUUCAACAAGGAGCAGCCUCGAAAAUAUCCGCAACAGUCGCACAAUCCAGCUGUUUAUUCAAUAGAGAGAGGCUGCUUGCUUAG